rnacentral:rRNA from 1 species
CAUGUAGGCGGUUUGGUAAGCCUGGUGUGAAAUCCUGCAGCUUAACUGUAGAAUUGCAUUGGGUACUGCCAGACUUGAAUCACGGAGGGGAAACUAGAAUUCCAGGUGUAGGGGUGGAAUCUGUAGAUAUCUGGAAGAAUACCGGUGGCGAAGGCGGGUUUCUAGCCGAUGAUUGACGCUGAGGUGCGAAAGUGCGGGGAGCAAACAG